rnacentral:rRNA from 1 species
UACGAAGGGGGCUAGCGUUGUUCGGAAUUACUGGGCGUAAAGCGCGCGCAGGCGGCUAUCCAAGUCAGUGGUGAAAGCCCGGAGCUUAACUCCGGAACUGCCAUUGAAACUGUUUAGCUUGAGUAUGAGAGAGGUGAGUGGAAUUCCCAGUGUAGAGGUGAAAUUCGUAGAUAUUGGGAAGAACACCGGUGGCGAAGGCGUUCCGCUGGGCCGUUGCUGACGCUGAGGCGCGACAGCG